rnacentral:rRNA from 1 species
UGUUCUUUAAAUAGGGACUUGUAUCAACGGCACCACGAGGGUUGCACUGUCUCCUUUUUCUAAUCAGUGAAACUAAUCUCCCCGUGAAGAAGCGGGGAUACUACUAUAAGACGAGAAGACCCCAUGGAGCUUUAAACCCAACUACACCCCUAUCCACAACAACUACUUAACCAAUUGGACACUGUAUGCUUGGUUUUAGGUUGGGGCGACCACGGAGUAAAAAAUAACCUCCACGAUAAAUGGGCUUACCCCCUUAUCUAAGAGCCACACCUCUAAGAAUUAAAAUACUAAUAUAAUAUGAUCCUUUCUUGAUCAACGGACCAAGUUACCCUGGGGAUAACAGCGCAAUCCAUUU